rnacentral:rRNA from 1 species
CCUACGGGGUGCAGCAGUGGGGAAUAUUGCACAAUGGGCGAAAGCCUGAUGCAGCAACGCCGCGUGAAGGAAGAAGGCCUUCUGGUCGUAAACUUCUGUCCUUGGGGAAGAAGAACUGACGGUCCCCAAGGAGGACGACCCGGCUAACUACGUGCAAGCAGCCGCGGUAAUACGUAGGGGGCAAGCGUUAUCCGGAAUUAUUGGGCGUAAAGAGUCCUUAGGGGGCAACCUAGGCGCAGGGUUAAAGGCAAUGGCUCAACCAUUGUUCGCCCUUAGAACUGGGAUGCUUGAGUGCAGGAGAGGAAAGCGGAAUUCCUAGUGUAGCGGUGAAAUGCGUAGAUAUUAGGAGGAACACCAGUGGCGAAGGCGGCUUUCUGGACUGUAACUGACACUGAGGUACGAAAGCGUGGGGAGCAAACAGGAUUAGAUACCCCAGUAGUC